rnacentral:lncRNA from 1 species
UCACUCCAUCCCUUCUCCUCCACCUACCAGCUAUGCAAUCUUUGGCAAGUUACUAAGCUCUCUGGCCUAAGUUUCCUCACCUGUACAACAAAGCUAAUAAUGGUACUGCCUCCAUGGGUGGUCCAGAGGGAUAAUUGAGUUAAGAUGUAUAAAGCUCUUUACAAUAGUGCCUGGUGCACAGUUACACUGACUUAAGUGUUUGUUAACUAAAGAUAAAAGGAAAAUGGGAAUAGCCUUUGUGGUAUGUCAUCUUCCCUACAGUGGCUUUACAUGCUCCAUGUUUCUCAGACAGGAGGUGGCACUUCUUAACAGAUGUUCAUCCUUAGUCAACAGUUUGAGAAAAAUGACAAUUCAGGAAAAGGUGAAUGGCACUUCAGGGAAAGGUUUGCAUAUAGACCAAAACAUGGUCAUAUCUUAAAAUAGAAUUGCCAAAUGUGUAGGGCAGUGACUUCUGUGAACAUCAGUUCAGAGAGCUACAUCAUGGUUCAUUUGGUUCCACGGUUGUAUCUCCUCUGUGGUCUCCCGAAACAGUGUUUCCCAAAUUUGAGCUAUGACUUGUCAGCAAAAGCUGACAAAAUUAAAGGAAAAAAUAGAUAAAUUCACAACCAUAGGUGGAGAUUUUGAUAUCCCUCUCUCAGUAACUAAUAAAACAGCUAGACUUUGAAAAGAUUGGCAUUGGGAAGUUUCAGAUAACAUUGUCAAAUCAUUCUUUCUUUCAGAGAGGGUUUCUGUACCUCUAAAUGGUUCCACACAUUCCCCCAAAUACAAAAUAAGUAGUUUGCUAGUUUGCUGUACCUCCCAGUAAGUUCAUUUUCACUCCUCCCUAUUUUUAAAAAAUAACAUUUUAUGAGAAAGUUUAGUAUAAAAUUCUCCUUAAGCCAGUUCAUUUUACAUUGGGUGACAUUUUGGAAUUUCCAGAUAAAGAAUCAAUGAUUUUUACAGUAGGAUUCUCAUUUUAAGCAGUCAUCAUCCAUUUUUCUUACUUUAAAAGUUUGUUAAUGGAGAGUGUUGACCAAUUCGUUGAAAGGUUGAUAAGAUAUGGGGAAAGAAGAGGGAUUUGUGGGAAAAUGGAGGGUGUGUAUUAUUGGUGUUUUUCACUUGGAGAAAAGUUCUGACAUUAAAAAAAAAAGGCU